CAGGUAAACAAGUGAGAACCAAACUGUCACAGGCCUUUAAUCACUGGCUGAAUGUUCCAGACGAUAAAAUACAGAUCCUUAAAUAAGUGCCUUGGACUGCAGAUAUCUCACAAUGACUAGUAGUGUGCCUGCUGAUGUGCUUGGUCGAAGAAUCCUGUGUGAUACAGAAUAUGCAACUGUGCGGUAUGCUGGUAGUGUUCCUCCCACAACAGGAAUUUGGCUUGGAGUAGAAUGGGACAAUCCUCAAAGAGGAAAGCAUAAUGGCAGCCAUGAAGGAGUACAGUAUUUUAAAUGCGGUCACCCUACAGGAGGAUCCUUUAUCCGCCCAAACAAGGCAAAUUUUGGUGUGGAUUUUCUUACUGCAGUAAAGAACCGCUAUGGAUUGAAUGAUGAGCAAGAUGUUGAAUGUGAGAAAGAGAAUGCAUUAGUCAUUGGAAAGAAGACUGUGGAACUUGUUGGUUUUGAUUCUAUUAUAGAACAACAAAGUCAACUGAACAAAUUGUUAGACAUCUCAGUGAGAGAAUGUGCAGUGAGCCAUGCUGGUCAGAAAGAGGAAAUCAGCAGAACGUGUCCUAAUAUCAGGAGUAUAAAUCUAUCAAAAAAUCUGUUGCCAUCCUGGGAGAAAGUAACAGAUAUUGGUUGUCAAGUUCAGAAUCUGGAAAGUCUUGAUCUCAGUGAAAACAAGAUGAAAUUUCCAUCUGAUUCUGCUUCUAUAACCUGUACACUUGGUAAAUUGAGGGUUCUGGCAAUUAAUCGAACUGGAGUAACAUGGGCAGAGGUUCUUCUGUAUGCUCCGGGGUGGCCAGCACUUGAAGAAUUGUACCUUGCUUCUAAUGAUAUUACAGUUUUAGAAAGACCCAUUAAUGUUCUACAGACCUUGAAAUUGUUAGACCUUUCAAACAACCAAUUAAUUGAUGGAAGUCAACUGCAGCUAAUAGCAUAUCUCCCCAGAUUAGAACAACUAAUUCUUUCAAACACUGGAAUUUCUUCUAUACACUUUCCUGAUGGUGGAUUUGGAUGCAAGACUAAAAUGUUUCCUUUAUUACAACGUCUUGCAGUAGAUGACAAUAAAAUAUCGCAAUGGUCAUUUAUCAAUGAGCUUGAUAAGCUACAAUGCUUGCAGUCACUGCACUGUCAGAAUAACCCUUUGAUGGGCACAGAGAAGAGCCCAGAGACCGUGAGGCAGCUUAUCAUUGCCAAAAUAGGCCAAUUAAAGGUUCUGAACAAAUCUGAGAUCUUUCCUGAUGAAAGAAAGGGAGCAGAGCUUGACUAUCGCAAAAUGUUUGGCAAUGACUGGAUAACGGCUGGUGGAAAUCAGAAUCCAGACAAAAACAGACCAAAUGAGGAAUUUCUUGCUGCUCAUCCUAGGUACCAGUUACUCUGCCUUAAAUAUGGUGCUCCUGAAGAAGGUGAACUGAAACGACAACAGCCUUUCCUUCUGAAAAAUCAGCUGCUAACUUUGACAAUUAAAUGUCCGGACAAACCUGAUCAGAAACCUAUAGAGAAGAAACUACCAGAUUCUAUGACUAUUCAGAAGGUCAAAGGCUUGCUGUAUCGUCUACUUAAAAUUCCUGGUUCAGAACUGAAAUUGUCUUACGAAAGUCCUAAAAUGGAAGGCAAAGAAAUUGAACUAGAAAAUGACCUAAAGCCCUUGCAGUUUUAUUCUAUAGAAAAUGGAGACACUAUGUUAGUACGGUGGUAAUUUUUUUAACUGGUCUCCUCUUCUGAAGAUGCAGAGUGCUGUUCAGCCCAAGCCUACCCCAGAAGAGCAUCUAUAAUUUCUACCACUCUUCCCAUAAUUCCCAGAUUAAAUGGAAUAUUAGCAUGCAGGUUUCUUCAAGUUUUAUGCUGCACUGGUGAGAAUUUCUAUAGAAUAAUCAGUUUUAAGCAGACCCACACAUUUAUUUUACUCAGAACGUGUAAUUUAAAAUCUCAUUUUCAUUUGUAAUACCUGCAAGCAUAAAGCCACAAGGACAACUGCUGUUGCACUAGAAAAGGGCACUUAAACUCUGCUUUAAGGGAGAGAGGAAAUAAUUUAAGGAAUACUUCUAAGGAAGCCUUUGAGAAAAGAACAGAGCUUUCUAUAGAGAGGUACCUAGAUAGGUGUGUGGAAAGUUUAGAUCAGUAUUCUUAUCUCCUUGUUGCUGUAUCCUAUUUACACA